rnacentral:rRNA from 1 species
UACGUAGGGUGCAAGCGUUAAUCGGAAUUACUGGGCGUAAAGACGUGCGCAGGCGGUGAUGUAAGACAGUUGUGAAAUCCCCGGGCUCCGAACCUGGGAACUGCAUCUGUGACUGCAUCGCUGGAGUACGGUAGAGGGGGAUGGAAGUUCCGCGUGUAGCAGUGAAAUGCGUAGAUAUGCGGAGGAACACCGAUGGCGAAGGCAAUCCCCUGGACCUGUACUGACGCUCAUGCACGAAAGCGUGGGGAGCAAACAGG